AUUCUAAUGGACGGAGGGGGAGUGAAAAAGUGAAUUUAUGAUUAGUUCUUAGAAGCAGGAUGAUGAAAGUUAGAGCGGAUGCGCAGUGCCUUCAUUUGUCUUCAAGAAUUACCAAUCUUCGCCUGUAAUGUUCUCCAUGUCAACCCAAUUUUAACUCUUAAGUCUGUCAUGCUUUCCAUAGAUAUGUGUUGCUCAUACAGUGCUGCACUGUAAAAUUUUUCCAGGAUUUCACAAGAUAUAACUGUAAUAUUUCACAGUUAAUUACAUUAUUACCACUUCACAGGCUUUAACUGUGAUAAUUCACAAUAUAAUACCGUAUUUAGACUUUUACUGUGAAAACAAUGCAGGCGCGGGGCUUUUACAAGAAACUACUGUGAAUGCCGUCUUUUUUGAGUGGCAACUGCGGCAGCGUCAUCAGAGCGUCAUCAGAGCUCUCUGAUCUACGUGGUCUCAUUCGGUGGAUUCAGACAGCGCAUUUUCUACAUUGACCGACGAUAAAUAAAGUUAUAAGGUGCUUCUUGGGCAUCAACCCAGAGCGAGACACAAAAUCUAAGAGGCAGAGAGGUCACAUGAACCAGCAAGUCUGCACUCUUAUCAGGAAGCUCAUUGACUUCGAAUGGAUGUCAAUCUAAUUGGAUAGAACCCACACUAUGCAGGUGCCAGCUGCGAGGGAAGGAGCGAGAUACCUGCGACCCUCUCUAUUCCCACCUUUUUGUCUUUUCUUACAUCUCUCUCCCUCACUCUCUCUUCUCUGUCUCCUUCUUUCUCUUUUGACACACAUUCCUGUUACCCAGUGUCAAUCCCUGUUGCCCAGUGUUUUAUUCAUGUAAUUAAAUUGUAUUUUACUUCUAAAAAAUAAAAGUUAUGUCACUGUUUU